CAGAGCAUAGCUAAGACAGGAAAGCACCUCCCUUACACUGAGGAGUCGCCCGUGCAAGUCGGGCUGCCCUGA
rnacentral:tRNA from 1 species